UUUUAGCAAAAAACAUUUUAGUACUGAGAUCCAAAAGAGUACCCUCUGAAAUAUUUUUUGAUACUUAAACAAAGUCCCCUUUUCCAUCCCUGGUAACGAUAUAGCACAGCUGGGUUUUUUAAAUAAAAGUAACAAAAACCACAGAAAAAUUUUGACAACCCUUUAACAAAAACAACAGACAAUUGUUAUCAUACCGGUUGCUGAAUAUAGAAACAAUUGCUUGUGGCUGUUGCAAUUAUUGUUGCCACUUUAUUAAUAAAUACACUUUAAAUACAGAUAUGUAGGCCACUCUGUAAUUGAAAUACGAAGUAAUUGGGAAUAUUGUGUUUUCAAAAGUUCUGUUUUAGUAGAACAAAUGAAAUAUAUUUUGCAAUUGUACCUGGUUAUGGGAUUUACGUUUAAAAUAAUAUCUACAAAUUAUUGCAAACAAUUAUCUACAAAAUCACUUACCAAAAUUCAUGGACAGGCAUUUAAUCCUCGUUAUAUGAGCAUUGAACCACCAACAUCUAAUCAUGAUGCUAGUAGCAAACGCUCUUCUUACGAAUUACCAUUUUAUGCUGAUGAUGAUGUUGUAUCUGUAGGAGAUUUUCCAGCAUGGGAAACGGAACAUGUGAACUUUUACGAAAAAAAAAAAGAGUCAACUUUAAAACAGAGAAGCAUACGUAUUACAAAUAUUUUUAAUGAUCGCACCAUUGCAAAGUCUGAUGUAUUUAAAACUCGACCGUGGGAAUGCUCCUCUAAGCUUGCAUGGAUAGACCUUGGUCUACACUAUUUUCCUAGAUAUAUACGUUCUGUUGAGUGCAUUUCCAAAAAAUGUUGGUAUGGUAAUUUUAACUGCAAAGCUAAAUCGUUUACUAUAAAAAUAUUGAAAAGAAAAAAUGGAUCAUGUAUUCGAAUAAGUGAAAAAUUGCUUAUGGUUGUAUUAGAAGAAUUUGAUUCCGAUUAUACUGAAUUAUGGGUAUGGGAAGAAAUUUCAAUAAAUUUUUGUUGUGAUUGUGUAAUGCUACGUUGAUGCCAUAUAAAGUUUUUUGGUCCGCUGGGAAUAUAAAAUUCCCAGGUGGUGGACAAUCUGUCCUCCCUCAGCUUCAGUCAACUAAAACAGGAUAGGAUAGAUGAUCCAUCACCACCGCCACCCGGGGACGCGCUCUGUAGGAAAUACUGGAAAACUUCCCAUUUAAUAAUAGAUGGUGCUAUAUUACAGCCAAAGAAUUUUCCUGGACUAGCUCGCUGGCCCCUACAAUCGUCCAGAAGUGACUACAAUCCACACUUCCAGAUAAAUAAAAUACAACAUGUGAAAACUCUUCAAACUCUCUUUCUUGUCACCAGUCGGGAAGAACUGAUGCCGAGCUGGGGAAUCUCUAAGAGUAACGUGGAAGAAAAUUCUGGAAGACCCGCAGAACAAAUUUCUAGAUGUUUUCUUUUCUUCUAUUUGUAUGC
rnacentral:misc_RNA from 1 species